GCCUUUGUGGUGUAACGGUUAACAUACUCUGCUCGUAUUUGAGAGGUCCAGGUUCGAGUCCCAGCGAGGGCA
rnacentral:tRNA from 1 species